GACGAACGCUGGCGGCGUGCUUAACACAUGCAAGUCGAACGGAAAGGCCCUGCUUUUGUGGGGUGCUCGAGUGGCGAACGGGUGAGAAACACGUGAGUAACCUGCCCUUGACUUUGGGAUAACUUCAGGAAACUGGGGCUAAUACCGGAUAGGAGCUCCUGCUGCAUGGUGGGGGUUGGAAAGUUUCGGCGGUUGGGGAUGGACUCGCGGCUUAUCAGCUUGUUGGUGGGGUAGUGGCUUACCAAGGCUUUGACGGGUAGCCGGCCUGAGAGGGUGACCGGCCACAUUGGGACUGAGAUACGGCCCAGACUCCUACGGGAGGCAGCAGUGGGAAAUAUUGCACAAUGGGCGGAAGCCUGAUGCAGCAACGCCGCGUGCGGGAUGACGGCCUUCGGGUUGUAAACCGCUUUCGCCUGUGACGAAGCGUGAGUGACGGUAAUGGGUAAAGAAGCACCGGCUAACUACGUG
rnacentral:rRNA from 1 species